GAGUUUGAUCUUGGCUCAGAUUGAACGCUGGCGGCAUGCCUUACGCAUGCAAGUCGAACGGCAGCAUGAUCUAGCUUGCUAGAUUGAUGGCGAGUGGCGAACGGGUGAGUAAUACAUCGGAACGUGCCCUGUAGUGGGGGAUAACUAGUCGAAAGAUUAGCUAAUACCGCAUACGACCUGAGGGUGAAAGUGGGGGACCGCAAGGCCUCAUGCUAUAGGAGCGGCCGAUGUCUGAUUAGCUAGUUGGUGGGGUAAAGGCCCACCAAGGCGACGAUCAGUAGCUGGUCUGAGAGGACGAUCAGCCACACUGGGACUGAGACACGGCCCAGACUCCUACGGGAGGCAGCAGUGGGGAAUUUUGGACAAUGGGCGAAAGCCUGAUCCAGCAAUGCCGCGUGUGUGAAGAAGGCCUCGGUU
rnacentral:rRNA from 1 species